rnacentral:rRNA from 1 species
GUGGUGCCAUGGCUGUCGCCAGCUCGUGUCGUGAGAUGUUGGGUUAAGUCCCGCAACGAGCGCAACCCUUGUUUUUAGUUGCCUUUUAAGGAACUCUAGCAAGACUGCCGGUUAUAAACCGGAGGAAGGCGGGGAUGACGUCAAGUCAGCAUGCCCCUUACACCCUGGGCUACACACGUGCUACACUGGGCUGGACAAAGGGAUGCUUCUCUGUGAUGGUUUGCUAAUCUAUAAACUCGUUCUAAGUUCGGAUUGUAGGCUGCAACUCGCCUCCAUGAAGGCGGAAUCGCUAGUAAUCGCUGGUCAGCUACACAGCGGUGAAUCCGUUCCCGGGCCUUGUACGCACCGCCCGUCACA